ACACCUUUCUGUCCGCAAAAGCAGGGUGCUCUCUCAUAGACAGCGACAUAAGACAGAUUUGUGUGGUGAAAUUUUUGCGGGCAUUUCAAGUUUAUUUUUAUCAAAUUAACCCAAAAUAAAACAAGGGAGAAAUAUCUAAUGGAGGGAGAUAGGUUGAAAAUCCUUCAUUUUCUUGUCACAUCGGAAAAAAUGAAAGGAUGCAGAAACAGGAUACUGUGAGCCCUUCUUUCUCUCUCUUGGCCUUUUGAGAGAGAUGAGGAGAUCAACAAAGAAAACAAUUUAACAAGCAUCUUGUUCAAAGGGUUCUUACUUAUAGGAGUUAAAAGCUUUGUUUGAAGCAAGUCCAGAACUUUUAAAACGACACCAACGAGGAAAAAAAGGAAGUAGCAGGUUGUAGAAAACAAGCUCUACAUUCGAUCUUUUAUUGGUUUUCAGUACCAAAUAAAAAAAGAAAAACGAUUGGAAGAAUACAAACAAGUUUGAAGAAAGAUAUGUGGACACCGAGAAGUUAUGGCGAAAGGCGAGAAGGAUCAAACGGGUUGGUGGCAGUGGCCAUAGACAAGGACAAAAACAGCCAAAAUGCCCUCAAAUGGGCAAUUGAUCAUCUCUUGCAAAAAGGCCACACCGUCGUUCUCAUCCAUGUGAAAGUCAAGCCAUUCUCUCUCUCCGCCUCGCCUCUCCCUGCACCUCGGUUGAACCAAAUUUCUGAUAUCAAUGGUGACUUACCAUUGGUAUGUAAAGAUCCUGAUCCUCAGACCAGGGAACUUUUCCUUCCUUUCCGUUGCUUUUGUACUCGUAAAGAUAUACAUUGCAAAGAUGUUGUUCUAGAAGAGACAGACGUAGCAAAAGCAUUGAUUGAAUAUGUCACUCAGGCUGCAAUUGAGGUUUUGGUCGUUGGUGCCUCGACAAAAACAGGCUUUCUUAGAUUCAAAGCGGCCGAUAUUCCUGGAAUGGUAUCAAAAGGUGCACCAGACUUUUGUAGUGUGUAUGUCAUAUCCAAAGGCAAAAUUUCAUCCAUGCGAUCAUCCUCCCGUCCAGCGCCAGCUAUCUCCCCAUUGCGUAAUCACCUUCUUAACCAAUCCAGCUUAAAACCAACUCCUCCAGAGUCGCAUAUCCUGCCUGCUAAUAGUUUGAGAGUUGAAAAGCCGCGACUUGAGCCACCCCGUAAAUCCAGUGAUUCCAUGGAAUCCUUCAGGUCACCUUUCACCAGGAGAGGCCUAAACGGGAAAUCAUAUCCGGACCUUCCUAUUCCGGAUACAGACAUAUCCUUUGUCACCUCUGGCAGGCCAAGCAUUGACCGUAUGUUUCCCACAUUUUACGAUAACCAAGAAACAAUCCGCACUGCUCCAAGGCUUUCGAACGUUUCAGACAUUGAAAGUAAUGUUAGCUUGGAGUCAAUGCAGUUCGGACGGAAAUCGGUGGAUAUUAGCUCUCCACCUAACAUUUCAUCAGUUUCGCAGGACAGUGACAAAUUAUCAAACUCAUCGGCAUCAAUGGAUGAUGUGGAAGCUGAAAUGAGGAGGCUAAAGCUGGAGCUCAAGCAAACUAUGGAAAUGUACAGUUCAGCCUGCAAAGAAGCACUUACAGCAAAACAAAAGGCAAGAGAACUCCAGCUGUGGAAAUUGGAAGAGGAGCGGAGAUUGGAAGAGGCCCGACUGGCUGAGGAAGCUGCAUUAGCAAUAGCAGAAAAGGAGAAAGCUAAGUCAAAAGCAGCAAUUGAGGCCGCUGAAGCAGCUCAGAGAAUUGCAGAACUUGAAGCACAGAAAAGAGUUAACGCAGAAAUGAAAGCGCUCAAGGAAUCAGAGGAGAAGAGAAAGGCACUUGAUGCACUAGCAAAUUCAGAUUCCAGGUACAGGAAGUACACGAUUGAGGAGAUUGAAGCUGCGACUGAAUUCUUCUCAGAGGUUCUCAAGAUUGGAGAAGGGGGCUAUGGGCCCGUGUAUAAAGGUCGUCUAGACCAUACUCCCGUUGCAAUUAAGGUUUUGCGUCCGGAUGCAGCUCAAGGAAGGUCGCAGUUUCAACAAGAGGUGGAGGUGCUAAGCUGCAUACGGCAUCCAAACAUGGUUCUCCUCUUAGGAGCCUGCCCAGAGUAUGGAUGCCUAGUGUACGAGUUCAUGUCUAACGGAAGCUUAGAGGACCGUCUCUUCAGGAGAGGAAACACUCCACCUCUCUCUUGGCAGCUUAGGUUCAGAAUUGCAGCCGAAAUUGGAACGGGCUUGUUGUUCCUCCACCAGACCAAACCCGAACCCAUAGUCCACCGUGACUUGAAACCUGCCAAUAUCUUACUGGACCGCAACUUCGUGAGCAAGAUUAGUGAUGUUGGGUUGGCCAGACUAGUUCCUCCAUCCGUGGCUGAUAAUGCAACGCAGUAUCGAAUGACCUCCACGGCAGGAACUUUCUGCUAUAUAGAUCCAGAGUACCAGCAGACAGGCAUGCUGGGAAUAAAGUCGGACAUAUACUCCCUUGGGAUCAUGCUUCUACAAAUAAUAACAGCAAAACCACCAAUGGGAUUGACUCACCAUGUGGAACGGGCUAUUGAGAAGGGGAACUUUGAGCAAAUGCUUGACCCAGUUAUUCCUGAUUGGCCGGUUGAAGAGGCCAUGAGCUUCGCAAACAUUGCACUCAAGUGUGCAGAGCUAAGGCGGAAAGACAGACCCGAUCUCGGCAAAGUUGUGUUGCCAGAACUUAACAGAUGGAGAGCACUUGCUGAAGAUACCAUGCAUCCUACUUUGCAAACUGGGAGUCCAGGACACUCACCUAACUAUAGCCAAGUUUCGCUACAACUAGAGCAUACCAGUUGUCCUAACUUUGCGCAGUCGGAUGAUGGCUCAAGAAGUCCUUCCAACGAGAAUUGAUAGGUAUUCGCAGGAGGAAAGAUUGACCUAACAAGUUUAGUUUUUGUAGGUAAUUUUAAGUCAAAAUAUGAAUACUGUCUUGGAGUUUUAUUUUUUCCUUGUCCGUUUCUCACCUCAAACAUGUACAGUCACAGAGAGCCAAUGAUGAGGUCACAAACGAGACAUUAAAAAAGGUACGACCAACUAAUAACCGAUUAAUUAAAAUGCAGCAGAAGCCACAUGACAAGUUAAAUCAUCAAGGGCCCUUCUCCCAUCACAUUUCUUUACAAAGUUGAAUUACAUGCCCCAUAGGAUUUCCUUAUCCGGAAUACGAAACUCA